rnacentral:lncRNA from 1 species
GGAAGUUCCCAGGCUAGCAGUGAAUUGGAGCUGCAACUGCCAGCCUACACCACAGCCACAGCAAUGCCAGAUCUGAGCCAUGUCUGCGACCUACACUGCAGCUCACAGCAACACUGAAUACUUAAACCACUGAGCAGGGUCAGGGAUGGAACCUGCAUCCUCAUGAAUACUAGUCAGGUUCAUUACCCCUGAGCCAUAGUGGGAACUCCAGAUGUAUGGCAGGAAGUGUGUGUGUGUGUGUGUGUGUGUGUGUGUUUCUUGGUUUUAACUUGGUACCUACCAAAGCACUGGGCAUCAUAAAAGUGAUGACAUACAACAAUAUUUUUUUUCAAAUAAAGAUCUCUCUGAUGAAAGGAUUUGCUCAAAAUUGCACCCAAACUAGUCCAGAAAGAUACCUGGGAGCAUUGACUGCUUCUCUGAGGAAUUCCCUUUCCAAAGCCAGUGUACGUGAGCAUUUGAAGGCAUGAAAUUGCAGAGGGGGACCUCGGAUCACCUUUCUAUUCAGAUCUCUGAAUACGGUGGCGAGACUACCAUUCACAAGUAAAAGCAUGAAAACAACAUGUCACAAUGGUAUUGUUUACUCCUUGACCCAACAAGGCAGACUGAGAAGAGUGUCCUAUGAGAAAAAUAUUGCACCGCAUCCAUUGCAGACCCAUAAGUCAAUGUCAACACUCAGUGAGCUGAUGACUCAGAAGGAAUGCCCAUGCUCUCCCUGGACACAAACUCUCCCCAAGGCUACCAAGACCUACUGCCUUAUGACGGUCCUCAAGACAGCCAAGCGACCCAGCGCCACUCAUGGAAACCCAAAAACACACCUCCUGCAGAGAGACAUCAGUCCUUUCGUUACUGAGUGGGCAGCUCAGGGAUUCUUAGCCAUUGCUGAUUCUUUGUUCAUCCAGCCAGGUUGGUCUCACUCUUAGGCUCGCACAUGGCACUCUGAACGUGGCUCUAUAGAACUCACCAACAUUGGUAACAAUAUCUACAUUUAGGUGAUUAUUUGAUAAAGAUCUAUUUUCCCCCCAGAGCCCAGACUUCUUAAGCGCAAGGAUAGAUCUCUUUGGCUCACUACCGUGUCUAGGCAUUCUAUCCAUGUCUAACAUGGAGCGCAUGCCUCACACAUACUUUUUGAAUGGAAGAAGGGAUAAAUGAAUGGUGCUCAGGUGUCUGCUGGGAAGACACCUCCCAGCCAGCCUGACUCAGCUGCAAGAGAGCAAAGAGGCUGCAUUUUUUUUUUCCCAAUGUAAAUCCGACCUUAUCAUCACCUGACUGCCUUGUCAUCUUCAUCAAGGCGUCUCCUGUGCCUAGAAUAGUAUCUGGCACAGAGAGGAGGCUCCACAGAUAUUGGGAGAAUACACACAUGAAUGGACACUUCCCGGAGAAGCUCGGUUACCGUCUUAGGAUAAAUUCCUGGAAAGGGGAUAUGGGGGGAAGGUACAAUAUGCGAACAUCCUGAUCCAGAACCCAGGGUCCCCCUUUGGACCCAGUGGGUCUGGUUCCAGGAGUUGCUAAACCAACAGGUCAGCAUGGGGUCAGCUUGGAUUGCAAACGAAAUGAGUUUUCUUGAGACUGUGCUCCUUGGGACUGUUGGGCACCACGCUCCGGGGUUAUGUACUUGAAGUUAUGGCUCCUGGUUGUCAUCACACACUCUGAAGAAAAUAACCCCAACCCAGGAAUGGUACUGUACCUUAGAGAGAGCCGG